rnacentral:rRNA from 1 species
UACGUAGGGGGCAAGCGUUGUCCGGAUUUAUUGGGCGUAAAGAGCGUGUAGGCGGCCAGGUAGGUCCGUUGUGAAAACUCGAGGCUCAACCUCGAGACGCCGAUGGAAACCAUCUGACUAGAGUCCAGAAGAGGAGAGUGGAAUUCCUGGUGUAGCGGUGAAAUGCGCAGAUAUCAGGAGGAACACCCGUGGCGAAAGCGGCUCUCUGGGACGGUACUGACGCUGAGACGCGAAAGCGUGGGGAGCAAACAGG